rnacentral:rRNA from 1 species
UACAGAGGUCUCAAGCGUUGUUCGGAUUCAUUGGGCGUAAAGGGUGCGUAGGCGGCGCGGUAAGUCGGGUGUGAAAUCUCGGAGCUUAACUCCGAAACUGCAUUCGAUACUGCCGUGCUUGAGGACUGGAGAGGAGACUGGAAUUUACGGUGUAGCGGUGAAAUGCGUAGAUAUCGUAAGGAAGACCAGUGGCGAAGGCGGGUCUCUGGGCCAUAACUGACGCUGAGAAGCGAAAGCAUGGGGAGCGAACAGG